AAAAUGGAGGAGGAGGAGGUUCUUAUAAUCUUUAGCCCAGUGGUUGGAGCAUUAAUCCAGGAUGUGGGAGACCCAGGCUUAGUUCCUGAUUUUGGGACAGGGAUUUCAACCCAGGACUCCUUCCUCUCAGUGGCCUGCUAACCUUGCUAAUCAUUGAACAUCACUGCCCACUCUCUGGAGACGGGGGAUCUAGAGUGAAGUGAAGAUGGUGACCCACUGAUAUUAAACCACCUGUGAACUAUCUUGAUAGUUUGAAUGGCUAUUGCUAAAGGUAUUGUCGGAGAAAGGAUCUAUUGAACUGAAAUCACAGACUGUCUACUCGCUUUCAUCAAAGCCCAUGUGGUGGAGUUGCUUCUAAGUGUGCAGCCUUCUUCAACAUCUCAGGUCUGCUCAAAAUUUAACAGGGAAGGUCUAAGCUGCAGGAUCAAGGUCUACAAGUAGUUUCCUGGAUUACCCUAGAUUUUCAUGAAAAAAACUCUUGACAGAUUCUACAUCUGAACUGCCUAUUGGACUAUAACCUAUUGAAAUGAUUCCAGGGAGACUUUUACAAGCCAGCAGAUAUAACAUUUCUGCUAUCAUCCUGAGUUUUGAACACUGAAAGUCACUUGUAUGUAUGUGAUUCCUUAAUCAUUUAUAA